rnacentral:rRNA from 1 species
GAUGAACGCUAGCGGCAGGCCUAAUACAUGCAAGUCGGACGGGAUUGAGUAGCUUGCUAUUCAUGAGAGUGGCGCACGGGUGCGUAACACGUAUGUAACCUACCCUUGUCAGGGGGAUAGCCUCUCGAAAGAGAGAUUAAGACCGCAUAACAUUGUAAUGUGGCAUCACAAAACAAUCAAAUAUUUAUAGGACAAGGAUGGGCAUGCGGAACAUUAGCUAGUUGGUAAGGUAACGGCUUACCAAGGCUACGAUGUUUAGGGGAUCUGAGAGGAUGACCCCCCACACUGGUACUGAGACACGGACCAGACUCCUACGGGAGGCAGCAGUAAGGAAUAUUGGUCAAUGGGCGGAAGCCUGAACCAGCCAUGCCGCGUGCAGGAAGACGGCCCUAUGGGUUGUAAACUGCUUUUGCAGGGGAAUAAACCUCGAUACGUGUAUCGAGCUGAAUGUACUCUGAGAAUAAGGAUCGGCUAACUCUGUGCCAGCCGCCGCUGUAACAC